AGACAAUACCAGGGGGCCACAGUGAAGAAAGGGGAAAUAUAGAGAGAGAAGGACGACCAUGGUCUUCUUUCUUCUUUUCUAAGAAAGCUCCAAAAUGCCAUAAAUACACAUACACAUAUUGACACACGCAUAACUCAUCUGAAACACACACACAAAGCGUGAGAUACACACUCAUCUGGUCGAGAGGGAGAGAUUGGGCAAUUGAGAGAUAGUGAGAGAAGAGAAAAGACGUGAGGCAGAGAGAUAGAGAAAAUGAAAGAGAAGGAAUACGAUAGAAAAGGUUGGCUGUUCUUUGGAUUUUUGGCAAAAUUUCUCGACAUAAUCGGCGUUUCCUUAUCAAAUCCGACCACCUGCAGACCCAAAAAUCCCUGAAUCCUCUUCGUCUCUUGUUCUCUGGCAAAAUAUCACUAAGAAUAUCAUCUUUGCUGACUGCCAGGAUUUACCAGUGCUCCGGCGAGUUCGAAUCUCAUCAGAAAUAGCAAAACCGAAGUCCAAAUAAUUAAACCCACAAUCGAGUCUGAGUGGAGUGGAGUUCGGGAUCAAAGUUAUUGAUUUGGGUUCGUGUUGAGGUUUUUGAUUUGAGUUUUCGAUGUGGACUCCAUCUCAUUCGAAUAAUAUUUGAGUUCGAAAGCGAUAUUAAGGUCCAUUUCUCAUCCCUUUCUUGAGUAAUUUUAAUUUUGAUAUUAAGGUCCAUUUCUCAUCCCUUUCUUGAGUAAUUUUAAUUUUGAUAUUAAGGUCCAUUUCUCAUCCCUUUCUUGAGUAAUUUUAAUUUUGAUAUUAAGGUCCAUUUCUCAUCCCUUUCUUGAGUAAUUUUAAUUUUGAUAUCUUGUUGGGUGAAUUGAUAAUGUGUGGAUCUUGCUUUGGUUGGUUUUGUGAUGUUUGAAUCAUGAAUUUUGGUUGCUGUUAGUUUUGAAUUAUGAAAGUUGAAUUAAUAGUCUAAGGAUUGGUUAAUCAAUGAUUGAGGAUUAAAGUCGGCUAUUGGGGGCAGAAAUUAAAAAUUGAUAGAAAGCAAGCAUUAGUUAUUUUAAUUCAUUGGGAUCGUUGAGUGUGAUAAUGGCAUGACAGAUCGAGCUGGGUAGGCAAAUUUAGGAAUGAUGUUUGAUUGAAUGCGUGGAAUACUGAAUGUGUUGAAUGCUUUUCUAGUUUAUCUCAUGAAAUUGAAAUUGUAUUCAUUUGCCGAGGAAUGCCCCAUAGAAAUUGUAUUUAUUCAUCGGAGAAUGCCCCGAGGUAUCUGUAUUGCUUUAUCCGGGGAAUGCUCCGAGAAAGUUGUACUUUAAAAUGGCGCACGGUCAAGGCCCUGAACAUCAGAUAGAUUAAAGCACGGGAGCAUAAUUACGAUUAGUGUAGGUUAGAAUAGGAUUUAUUUUUUUCGCAUGUUUUAUUUUGGACUGUAUAAUUGGACUGAAAAAUUAUAUUUUGGGAUUUGUUUGUUUGGAUUUGUUCGUUAUUUAAUUGUUGUGUGUUUUAUGUGGUUUAUGCAUUCAUAGUGCCAAAAUAGCCGAUACAAUCCACCAAGCGGCCGUGAUUAAACCACGGGAUUGAGGGGUGCCUAACACCUUCCCUUCGGUCAACAGAAUUCCUUAGCCGGAAUCUCUGUUCGCGGAUCAGUUUAGAAGAGUCAAAAAUAGUUUUGAAAAAAGGACUUUUCAAGGUGACUUGGCACACCUGAUUAUGCCAAGUGGCGACUCUGAGUUUUGAAUAUAAAAGUCCUUUUCGAAAUAAAUUUUCAUUUUGUCACUUUAAUAAUAAAAUCCUUUUGAAACUUAAAACACAUGAAUCUUUUUGGUUGUAAAAGGGGUAUGACAGCUAGGAUAUUCAUUACUAAUAUUCCCCUAAUGAGUUUUGUAGUUUACAAGAUUUUUUAUAAUUUAUUUUCAAAUAGUAUCAACGAUGAAUUUUUAUUACUUACUACAAAAAUUAUCUAUCGCUAACCUUUGUUUUUUCUUCUUGAAAUGAUGAUAACUAGGGAAUGUAAAUUAAGCCAAGUUAAUAAAUGGACCAAUUAAGUUAUGUGGGACUAAAAUUUAGGUCAUAAGACUCAUAACUCCAUCCAUCAAUUUGAACUAAUAUUAACGACUAUAUAUAAUAUAUUAAAAAUAUAUUUAAAAAAUUAAAAAGAAAUGAAGAUUUCUCAUGGAUCAAUUUAUAUAUUAGCGUAAUUUCAAAAAAUAUUAAAUUAAAUGAAUCAAAAUAAAUUAAAUUGAUAAUAAACAGAUUAUUAAAUCAUACAAACCUAAAUAAAUUAACCAAGUUAAUUUUAUGAUAAUUUUUACCACCCAAAAUAAACAUCUCUCUAUACUUGUGUAUUUUGUUAUAGACAUAUAAGAUCAUUAUGCAUAAGGCUUAUCUGAGCAUAAUGUGUUGCUAUCUUGAGAAUAUAUAAUGUUAACUGUUACAUUAUUUUCAACACAUAAACAUGAGCAUGGUAAAACUUAUAUUCACCCGGUGUAUACACCAACCCAAUACAUGCAUGCCAUGUGUUUGAAUUUAAAGUUCAUGUUACUUGGGGGUUUGGGCCACAGGUGACAAGAGUUUUAAAAUGAGGUGUAGGUGACACAAGUUUUAAUUAUUAGUUGGAGGUGACAAUUACUUUAUUAUGUAUUAAGAAAGUUGGAAAAGUUUGAAAAUAACCCACAAGUUUUUAAAUUUACACUUUGAUCCCAAUGUAUACCUAAAAUAACGAAAAAACAGAGGAAAAAAAAGACGCCUUUCUCUCUUCUCAUCCAUUGUUGUUUUCUCUCUCUUAGCGAUUUUUGUUGUUAAUUGUUUCUGUUUCUGUUGCUUUAUUCAUCAUCUUCUGCUUCAUUAUCAUCAUCUUCUACUUCAUUAUCAUCUUCAUCUUCUUCUUGUCGACCAUUUGUUGUUGUUGUUGUUGUUGUUGUUGGUACAACGUUACUGCUGCGAUCUGACCAAUUUCUUAGGUCAAAUUUUAUUUACUACAUCACUUUCCACUUUGGCAUUACUUAAUAGGUGACUUUGGUAAGUAAAAUUAUGAUUUUUAUUUGUAUUUAUCAUCUGGGUACACUUUUAUUUUUCCAAUAAUGGAUAGAACCCCGAUUAUGAAUCCAACAUAAGUACCCACAAUUUAGAACAAUCAUCUGUUGCAUCAGAUGAGUAAUCUAUUGCAUCAGAAGAUUUAUCCGUUGCAUCAGACUGUUUAUCUGUUGCAUCAUCGUAUUAUCCGUUGCAUCAGACUGUUUAUCUGUUGCAUCAUCGUAUUAUCCGUUGCAUCAGACUGUUUAUCUGUUGCAUCAUCGUAUUAUCUGUUGCAUCAGACGUAUUAUCUGUUGUAUCAGGAUGUUUAUCUGUUGCACCAGACUAAUUAUCUAUUGCAUCAGAAUGUUUAUCUAGUGCACCAGAUUAAUUAUCUGUUGCAACAAAUGAUUAAUCUGUUUGAAACAACACAAAUCAACCUCUGCCACAAACCCAACAGAUAAAUCUUGCUAUUGCUACUGGAUUCUAAAUUAUUCUUUUUUACGUCGAAUCGUCGACAUAUUUGUUGAGAAGAUAAUAGACAGAAUGAAAAUUAAAUAUGGAUUAAAACAUUAAAGAUCAAACAUAAUUUAUUUAUUAAGCAAAUAAAAAUGGAUAUAAUAGACUAAAAGAAAAAUAAUAGUCUAAUUAUUUAUUUAUUAAGCAAAUAAAAAUACAUAUAAUAGCCCUCCUCAGCCUGCGUAUCUCGCGGAGCAUUCUUGAUCUAACUCCUCCUAGUUCCCAUUUCUGAUCACGAACUUGAUUCUGAAGUUCAUUCACGGCGUCUUGCAGAAAAGCAAAGUUCCACACUGGGUCAGCCAUAAUCUUAUCUUCUAGUGUGUAAUAUGAAAGAUGAGAUGCAAUAAAUAAAUAGUGUAUUUGAAUGAACGAUUAAAAGGCGCGACAAUUCACCUCCAUACAUUAAUUACAUUUUUGAUUAAAUUAGGAAAAUAAAUAUUGUGAUAUAAGUCAUGACUUUUCAGAUUAUUAUUAUUAAUUAGUUCUUUCGAAGAACCAUUUUUAUUGAGUUGUGGCAAAAGAUUCUAUAUCUGUUGCAUCAGAUAACACAUCUGUGACAACAGAUAUAUUAUCUGUUGCAACAAAUAUAAAAUAUGUUGCAUCAGAUAACAUAUCUGGUGCAACAUAUAAUCUAACUGUUCACCUCCAUUUAUUGAUUACAUUUUUAAUUAAUUUGACAAGUAAUGAAUUAAUUAAACUAAGAAAUAUUAUGAUAAGUCAUGACUUUUCAGAUUAUUAUUAUUAAUUAGUUCUUUCCAAGAACUGCUUUUAUUGAGUUGUGACUCGAUAUAGGUUGCAUCAGAUAAAUCAUCUGUGACAACAGAUAUAUCAUCUGUUGCAACCAUAGUGAACCUGUUGCAUCAGAUAAUUUAAUUGUUAAUAAUUUAAAAAAUAAAUUCAAAAAUAAAAAUGGUGAAAAGUCACGAUCAGUUAUUAAAAUUGUGGUUAUAAAUUGUGUUUAUUAUUUAUUUCCUUAUUAUUUAUUUACGAAAUAUUUUUCUUAUUGAAUAAUCGGAACUGAAAAUCAUGUCUUUUCCUUUUCACCCUCUCAAUAACAACAAUAGCCCUUAUUUAUUAAUAACCGCCAGGUGCAACAUAUGAUCGAUAUGUCGUAGCAGAUUAACCUCUAACUGUUGACACAAAUAUCUGCUCAAUCCCUACCACCAACCGUCGACAUAUUGAGAACAAGGAAUAAACAAAAUGAUUAUUAUUAAAUACUAAAUAAGAAUUAAAAAUUCAAAGUCGACAACAAAAUGAAAUGAAUAUUCAUAGAUUUUUGAAUCCCUUGGGUAGAUUUGAUAGACAAAAGGAGGAAAAUAAUCGCUAAAAUAAAAAACAUUACCUAAUUAUUAUUACUACUACUAUUAUUAUUAGUGUCAAUCAUACAUCUUUCAUCCGGCAGCCUUGCUCCAAAGUAAGCCAAAUCUCUCUGGAGUUCAUCAAAUUGUCUUUGAAGUUCACGCAAGGACUCAAUAUGAAUAUUCUUGUAUGAAUCUGGAUCAUCCAUAUUUGUAAGGAGGGUCUUAUUUAUAAAUUAUUGUAUCGGAAAGAAAAGAAAAUUGCUUUAAAAUAAAUCUAACAAAUGGGUAAUUUGUUGCAAAAUAUAUUCUUUCUGUUAGAUAACUUACAACAUACUGACAAUCAUUUUGCAACAGAUGUAUAUAUCUAUUUGAUUUCUGCAAUAAGUUGAUCAAAUUUCAUAACAGAUAUCUCUAAUUGUUUGACAAUAUAAACAGAUGUGUCAUCUGUUGCAACAAGCUAGUCAUCUGUUUAUUCAAUUUAAGCCAUAGAUGGGCUAGGAAGAAUAAGGUACAUGCAGAUGGAUCCACUAUCAUAUGUAUGAGAUUUAAGUAUGUAUUACUGAUAAGAUUACCAGGACAACACAUACAAAGUACAAUAUUUUUGUGAAUGCAGUUUUUAACCGAUUAGGUAUUGAUCAUUCAAAUAAGAUCCUGCUUUGUACCAUUAAGUUUGAUGGGUUCGAAAUUGAUAAGGCUGAGGACCUCAUGAAGAUGGUGCAGAUGUCCUGUUACCAAUUAUUGACGGUUAGUGCUCGUGUUUAUACGUGUCAAGUUUUGAGAAGGGAUCAAUAUUUGUCAUCACUACAGAGAACCGAUAGCGAUUGGACUUAACUUUAAGUGUGCAUUGGACACUUAGAGGGGCCUCGAAGCCUCACACUGCAUCAAACAAGAACGAAAAACCAAUAUAGUUAUUGCCCUAGCCAAAAUUUAUAUGGUUGGGUUGCUCGCUCGAGGUGAUGAUUAUAUGCCAGAAGGUGUGGUAGGAGAAUGCUUUCGAGGAAAAAUGGGUGGUUGAUGGAGGACUAUAUUAUGUGAGAGCUAAUUAAAGAAGAGAAACAGGGUAGAAAGUAACUUCUAACGAAUUUGGCCAAUGGAGUUAUCUUAACAGAUGCGAAAUCUGAAUCAAGUGGAAAUAUAAAAGUGUAUCUGGUAAUGUAAUUUUGUCUGUUGUGUCUCUGAAAGAAAAACAAUGCAGAUAGACACUUUGCUAGGGAGCUAUAUGGUCGGGAUUAUCACCUAGGUAGAAAAUAAGAGAAGACCAACAAAGAAGCCUCACGGACAUCGAGGGUAGAAGUGAUGUUCAGCAAGUAUAGAAAACUUACGCCAACAACAACUGCAGUUAAAAUAAGUAAACUAAGCGAAGGCGGCAAUUUCUAAAUUUUAAAUUUCAUCCCAUCUUUUUGUUUGUGUUUCCGAUCAGGUCCACUGUCGUUGACCUGAUCAAAACCACAAACGUGAUUGAAAGGCAAAUAGAGUAUAAUUACUUCCUUAGCAAUAUGGAUUAAUUGAUUGUGUUUUCUUGCCUUAGCAUGCUUUCAACAUUCCUUGGAAAAUAUCAGAUUCUUGUUGUAGUAUGUGAAUCUCGAUAAUUUUCAAGCUUGCCUUCAGCUUAUUGAUUCUGUAUUCAAGAUAGUCGUUACUGUCUUCAAAGUUGGUGAGGAGUUCCUUCUCUCUUGUGAGCUCGAUCAGGAACACUACCUUCAGAACACUUUCUUCAGAAGACUUAAAGGAUACAUAAAGGGUCGUUGUGUUUGUUUUAGGUCAAAAUAUGUUGAUGCAUGUUGAAGAUGUGGUCCCAACAGUUGAACAACACACUUUUAUCGAGUGUUUCUCCAUACAUCUUGCUCAACCAAUUUGAUAAAUUAGUAAGCAUGGAGUUACAUAGUAUGUGGUUUAAACUGGAUCUACCAAGCCUAUCAAAUGUUACGUAACUCCGAGCUCAUUACCAUAUCAAAACAAUAUGCCCGAGUUAGUGCACAAAUAAAAAAAGCCCAAUCUGUCAGCCUUUCUGCUGAUCACUCUUCUCCAAUAUAGAUGACAAGAUAUCUGCUAUGCAAAAAUCUACACCAUUGCCAGACAUGCUUUCCUGGGAGCGAUUCUUCAGAAGACAUCAACAGAUAUCCUUCAGAAGAAUUGAUCCUAGGCAAACAUGUCUGGCGACGGUGUAGAAUUUUGCAUAGCAGAUAUCUUGUCAUCUAUAUUGGAGAAGAGCGAUUAGCAGAAAGGCUGAGAGAUUGAGCUUGUUUGAUUUGUGCACUAACUCAGUUAUAUUUUUUUAUAGUGUAAUAAGCUUAGAGUUACGUAAUGUUUGAUAGGCUUGGUAGAGCUGGUUUAGAUCACACACUAAGUAACUCCAUGCUUACUAAUUUAUCAAAUUGGUUGCGCAAGAUGCAUAGAGCAACGCUCGAUAAAAGUGUGUUGUUUAACUAUUAGGACCACAUCUUCAACGUGCAUCAACACAUUUUGACCUAAAACAAACACAGAGACCCUCCAUGUAUCCUUUAAGGCUUCCGAAGAAAGUGUUCUAAAGGGCUUCUAGAAUGCCACAACUUUGAAGGUAGUGUUCCUGAUCGAUCUCACAAGUGACGAGGAACUCCUUACCAACCUCGAAGAGGGCAACGACCAGCUUGAAUAUAGAAUCAACAAGCUGGAGGCAAGCUUGAAAAUUAUCGGGAUUCACAUACUACAGCAAGCAUCUAAUCUUCUCCAAGAAAUAUUGAAAGCAUAUCAAGGCAAGAAAAUACAAUCAAUUAUAACCAUAUUGCUAAGGAAGCAAUGAUACUCUAUUUUCCUUUCAAUCUCGUUUGUGGUUUCAAUCAGGUCAACGAUAGUGGACUUAAUCGGAAACACAAACAAGAAAGCAUGGGAUGAAAUUUAAAAUUCAAAAAUUUGUUGCCUUUACUUAGAUUCUUUAUUUUAACUUCAGUUGCUGUUGGCAUAAGUUUUCUAGACUUGCUGUACAUCAUUUCAACCCUCGAUGCCCGCGAUCCUUCUUUGUUGGCCUUCUCCUAUUUUCUAUCUAGGUGAUACUCCCAACCACGCAGCUCCCUAACAAAGUGUUCAGAUGCAUUGUUUAUCUUUCAGAGACAUAAUAGAUGAAAUUACAUUAACGGAUACACUUCAUAUUUGCACUUGAUUCAGAUCUCGCAUCUGUUAAGAUAAUUCCACCUGCCAAAUUUAUUAGAAGAUACUUUCUACCCUAUGUCUCUUCUUCAAUUAUCUCUCAGAUGAUAUAGUCUUCCAUCAACCACCCAUUUUCCUUCGAAAGCAUUCUUCUACCGCACAUUCUGGCAUAAAAUCAUCACCCCGAUAUAUUGGUUUUUCAUUCUUAUUAGAUGCAGUGCUAAGCUUUGAAGGCCCUCUAAGGGUCCAAAUCACCCUAAAAGUUAGUCCAAUCGCUAUUAAAUCUCUUUACAAUGACACAAAAACUACAUCCCUUCACAAUGGUUGAUAAAUAAACAUGAUCAACAACUGAUAUUAAAUCUUAACAGGCUAUCAGAACCAUAUUCAUGGUCCCUCAGCUUUAUCAGUUUGGACCUACCAAACUUAACUGUAAAAUUGCAGAUAUCUUGUUUGAACGAUCUAUGAAUAAUCAUUAAAAACAUCAUUCACAAAAUCAGUGCACUCUGUGUGUGUUUCCACAAUAACAUUAUCAGUAAUACAUACCUCCAACAUAUGAAAUAGUUCCAUCUACAAGAAGCUUAUUCCUCCGAUCCCAUCUUUACUGCAGCCUCUUGCUAUAGUCCAUCAAAAGUUGAUCAACUUUCAGUUCCUUAUAUCUACAAAAAAGAGGGGAAAAUUGAUGUCACAAAAAGAACAUUGUCAUCUGUUCCAUCAGAUGUGGAGCCUGUGGCAACAGAUGUGGAGUUUGUUGCAACAGAUGUAGAGUUUGUUGCAAUAGAUGUGGAGUCUGAUAAAAUACAUCAAACCAUCCUUACUGGUGAUUUUAUUUGUUCCAACAGUUUCUCCUUGCAACAUCAACAACAACAUAAACAUCAACAAAAAAAAACAACAACAUUUGUUCCAACAACAUCAUCAACAGCAAAGAAGCAAUAUCUUUUAUUCUAGAACCAUCAGCAACACCACACCACAAGUUCCAACAAUGCCAACCCCAUCAACAAUAAUGAAACAAAUAAAAUACAUACAAAAAAAUGAUACUGCCAACAAGGCUUUUAAACUUCUCCCAACAGAUAACUUUUUUCUCAUAUUGUAAUAAAAAUACUCAGAUUGUUUAUUCAAUACUUACAAGUUCCUUAAAAAAAAUUAAUAAAUAUGAUAUGGGUAAAUAGUAAUUAAAUAAAAAAAAUAAAUGCAAAUAACUUGCAAAGAAGAAGAGGAGAAUGAAAGAGCAAUAAUGAACCAUACCUUAAUAUCAAAAAGGAGAUCAAAAUAGAAAUUUAAGUCGAGGAAAGAUAUGGAUGGGUUUAGAUCCGAAAAGAACUUUAUGAGAAGAGAAGAGAAAAGAGAGAAAAAGGUUGUGACCCUAAAGAGGAGAGAAAAAAAAAUGAGAGUUGAACAAAAUAAAUUGCAGCUGAAAGAAGAGAUGAGAUAAUUUCUAUAGAUGUAUUAUGUACAUAGAUGUGGUGGUUUUCAAUAUUCAUUAAUUUCAUUAAUAAUUUGAGGGGCAUGAGGAAGACUAAGACUACUAACAUUGAAAAGACUAGCUAAGACUGCUCAAUGAACUCACUUUUGAGAUAUCCAAGAAAUAUUUUUUACCGUCUUUAGUAGUAAGUACUACUAUUUGAUAUUAUCUACUCGGACCAGAAGCUUCUUGCUUUAAAAUUAAAAGAGAAAAAAAGAUUUUCAAACAGAUAUGUCAUCUGUUGCAACAUAUAUAAAUAUCUGUUUAGAAAUCCAAACAGCUUAGUCAUCUGUUAUAACAGAUAUAAAUAUCUAUUUAAAAAUCCCAACAACUUAGUCAUCUGUGACAAUGGAUGAAAAUGUUCAUUUGAUAAUUAAUAAAAUCAGAUAUGUCAUCUGUUAAAAUAGAUAUAAAUAUAUCUUUGAAAAUUUCCAACAUCUCAGUCAUCUGUCACAACAGAUGCAAAUAUCUAUUUGAUAAUUAAAUCAGAUAUGUCAUUUGUUGCAAUAUAUAUGUACCUGUUUGAAAAUUUUCAACAGUUUAGUCGUUUGUUGCAACAAAUUUUAUUGCAAUUGACUUAGGUGGAACUAGGGAUGAAUGAAUGGGUUUGCAGAGUCAACUACAAAUUUAAUCGAUUCUUUACAAUUGCAUGGUGUUGGUAUUGCUUUCAUCCCGAUCCGAAUCAUCGAUCGAUCACUCUGAGUUGAAAUGAGUUCUCAUCAACUCAAUGUUAGGAUAGUGAUAGUACCUAAGAUGAUUUAGGUGGAACUAGGGAUGAAUGAAUGAGCUCGCAGAGUCAACUACAAAUCCAAUUGAGUCUUUGCAAUUGAAUAGUGUUGGUAUUGCGUUCAUACCUACCCAAGUCAUUGAUCGAUCACUCUGAGUUGAAAUGAGUUCUCAUCAACUCAAUGUUAGGAUAGUUAUAGUACCUAAGUUGAUUAAGGAGGAACUAGGGAUGAAUGAAUGAGCUUACUGUCACGACCCAAAUCAGGGCUGGGCCGUGACGAGAAUUUCAAACCAUUGAGGCCCAAAACACCCCUAUCUAUCUGGUAAUCAUGCACCUAAUUCAUAUGAUCAAAGAAAUGCGGAAAAAAACACAAUAAUUCGGAAACAUGGUCAUAAAUAUGAAAAGAGACAAUAAUGGAGAGAUAAUGUUCCCUCAACAUCAAUUAUCCUCUGAACAACUGUCUACGAAAAUCUCUAACAAAUAACUGAAAUAAUGUCUAUCUGAAAACUGGGACAAGGCCCCUAGUAGACCCAAAAACUGAAUAUAAGAUAAAAGGACUGCAGGACAUAAGACCUUCCAAAAAAUAGAAGGCUCACCACUUGUCUCUACAGCUCUGUUUGAAAGUUCUACUGAUUCUCUUGACCCCUAGACUGGGCAUCUGAACCUGAGAGGUUGGAGAGGGGAGGGGGUCAGCACAAAAGUACUGGCACGCAGAGAUAUCAAAACAAAACAUAAUAUUUUUACAAAGUAUAGUUGAGAGCCAUUAUAAAGCAAUUUCGUAUCAAAUCAUUUGAAAGCACAUGGGUGUAAUGCAAUAGUUUUUUUCUCAACAAUAAUGAAAUGCAACUGAGCUAGGUGGAAUACCCUACAUAAUUUACACCAACUGUCAAACCUCGGUUGCCGCCGAGAUUAGAGUAUAAGUGAGGGAGAGACACACAAGACCACGAAGCAUGGUGUCUCGACCCNNNNNNNNNNNNNNNNNNNNNNNNNNNNNNNNNNNNNNNNNNNNNNNNNNNNNNNNNNNNNNNNNNNNNNNNNNNNNNNNNNNNNNNNNNNNNNNNNNNNNNNNNNNNNNNNNNNNNNNNNNNNNNNNNNNNNNNNNNNNNNNNNNNNNNNNNNNNNNNNNNNNNNNNNNNNNNNNNNNNNNNNNNNNNNNNNNNNNNNNNNNNNNNNNNNNNNNNNNNNNNNNNNNNNNNNNNNNNNNNNNNNNNNNNNNNNNNNNNNNNNNNNNNNNNNNNNNNNNNNNNNNNNNNNNNNNNNNNNNNNNNNNNNNNNNNNNNNNNNNNNNNNNNNNNNNNNNNNNNNNNNNNNNNNNNNNNNNNNNNNNNNNNNNNNNNNNNNNNNNNNNNNNNNNNNNNNGGGUAUCAAGACAUUAUCAUGGGAAUUUGAAAGCAAUUUAUCAUUCAUAUUUAUCAAACUUCCAUGGAAAAUCUCAAAUCACAUAUGCAUGGUUUCAACCAUUGAAGUAUAUAGGCAAACAAUUCCCAUGACAUAAAGAAAACGACUUAAAAAUCGUAUUGAAAGCAAGAUAUUAGCAUUUGAUUGAAAACCCCCAUUUAAAACCAUGCAUGUUCAUAAAAACUACACCCAUGAGAUUUUUGGAUAACCCCACGUACCUUUAUUUCCAAGGAUAAUAGGUGUUUCUUGAAGCUUGCGGAUUGAUGAAUCCAAAUAUGUAAUUAUCUUUGAAAACCUAAGGUCAAAUCUUGAACUAUUUGGGUUUUUAUUUUGAAACCCUAAGGAGAAUCUUGAGCAAUUUUGAUGAAAGAAUAUGUAUUUUGGGAUCGUUGGAACUAAAUCUCGUGUUUCAGGGCUAAGUAAGGGUGAAAAAGGACCACUUUAUUCUCAACACGGAGUGUUUAAAUCACCAGAAUUCCUUACAUAGGCGCCGCCCGUCCCGUUGCCUAUGUUCACAUAGGCACCGCCUAGGAUAUCGCCUAUGUUUGCAUAGGCGCCACCUAGGCUAUCGCCUAUGUUUUCCAGUGGCUAUGGGCAAUUGGUUAGGCGACGCUUAUCACUUUGAAGGGCCAUAACUUUUUGCUCGGGUGUUGGAUUUUUGCCUAAUUGGUAUCGUUGGAAAGCUAACUUGAAUACCUAUCAUUUGACACAUAGUAGGCUUCAUAAUUUGACAUAUACAGAGAGUUAUGGUCGAUGGAAGCUGACACACUUUACAACAUCUACUAAAACUUAGUCGAUCGAAAUAGUUCCAACUCGUCCUUGAGUUGAAGGACCUCUAUGGUCUAAAUUCAAGCUUGAGCGGAUUCACAUGCUACCCAAUAAUUAACAUGCCAUAUUGGCAUAGGAUUUUAUGGAUUUGGGAUUAGCAACGCAUCGAAAUCAUGGUCUAUAUUGUAGCCCGAAUUACGGGGCGUUACAUUAUCCCCCCUUAGGAUCAUUCAUCCCCGAAUGAUGAAGCGGGACACAGAUAGACACGAUUUCAAGCAUAAUAAUGGACUAGGAAAGAUACGAUAGGAAUAGUACCUUCUGUCUCCUCCUUUAUCGAAGCAAACAAAUUGGGAUAUCUAAUUUACAUGUCAUCUUCUGACUCCCAAGUUGCUUCUUCGACUUUCUGAUUCCUCCAUAGUACCUUUACUGAGGCUAUCUCUUUGCUCCUCAUCUUUCAAACUUGGCAAUCUAAAAUUUCAAAAGGCUCUUCUUCGUAAGACAAGGAAUCUGUCACUUUGAUACCCUCUACUGGCAAUACCCUAGAAUGAUCUCCAAUGCAUUUCUUCAACAUGAAUACAUCGAAUACUAGAUGAACGAAACCCAAACUUGCAGGCAAUUCUAACUCAUAUACAAUUGUACCAAUCUUUUUCAAAAUCUGAUGUGGCCCUACAUAAAGAGGGCUCAAUUUACCUCUUUUUCCAAACCGCAUAACUCCUUUUAUAGGAGAAACCUUUAGAAACACCCAAUCACUAAUUUCAAACUCUAGUUCUCUUCUCCAAACAUUGGCAUAGGACUUCUGAUGAAUCUGAGCAGUCUUGAGUCGUUCUCUAAUGAUUUUUACUUUCUCCAUCGCCUGAUGAACAAGAUCAGGCCCAUACAACUGAGUCUCACCCAUUUUAUACCAUCCUAUAGGAUACCUACAUCUUCUCCCAUACAAGGCCUCAAAAGGAGCCAUCUUAAUGCUAGCAUGGUAGCUAUUAUUCUAGGCGAAUUCAACCAGUGGCAGGUGAUCUACCCAACUACUAUUGAAAUCGAUGACGCAUGCCCUCAAAAUAUCUUUGAGGGUCUGAAUGGUACGCUCAGCUUGCCCAUCCGUCUGAGGGUGGAAAGCUGUGCUCAAAUUUACUUGUGUACCUAAACCCUUCUGAAAGGAUCUCCAAAACUGAGAUGAAAACUGUGUACCUCUGUCGGAUAUAAUGGACACUGGUGCCCCAUGUAAUCAAACUAUCUCCUCAAUGUAAAUCUUAGCAUAAACCUCUCCCAAACAAUUAGUCCUCACAGGCAAAAAGUGAGCUAACUUGGUCAACCGAUCUACAAUCACCCUUAUAGAAUCAUACUGGUUUCGGGAUCUCAGAAGUCCUGUAAUAAAGUCCAUAUUUAUCAUCUCCCACUUCCAUAAAGGUAGGGCUAUCUCUUGGGAAGUACGACCUGGCCUCAUGUGUUCUACUUUUACUUGCUGACAGUUCAAACACUUGGACACAAAAUCAGCUACAUCAUGUUUCAUGUUAUUCCACCAAUACAAGGUUUUUAGAUCAUGGUACAUCUUAGUAGAGCCUGGGUGAAUGACAUACCUCGAAGUGUGCACCUCAUUAAGGAUUCUUUCUCGUAGACCAUCGAUAUUCGGAAUGCACAACCUACCCUGAAAUCUCAGAAUACCAUCGCCACCAAUUUCAAAUGACAUAACCUUUUUUUGACCCAUAUCUUUCUUGAUUUGCAUCAAGAUGGGAUCUUCAACCUGAUUCUCCUUAACUUCAGCACAAAGAGAUGGCUUAGCUAACUCAUGAACAAUCACCCCUCCAUCUUCGAAAUCUAUGAGUCGCACCCCCAGAUUUGCAAGGCGGUGAAUAUCCUUCACCAUCUCUUUCUUUCCUUCUUCUACAUGAGAAAGNNNNNNNNNNNNNNNNNNNNNNNNNNNNNNNNNNNNNNNNNNNNNNNNNNNNNNNNNNNNNNNNNNNNNNNNNNNNNNNNNNNNNNNNNNNNNNNNNNNNNNNNNNNNNNNNNNNNNNNNNNNNNNNNNNNNNNNNNNNNNNNNNNNNNNNNNNNNNNNNNNNNNNNNNNNNNNNNNNNNNNNNNNAAGUCAUAAGUGGGGUAAUUGCGCUCAUGAACCUUUAACUGCCUAGAUGCAUAAGCUAUCACCUUACCAUGCUGCAUCAAUACACAACCAAGUCCCACACGGGAUGCAUCACAAUAAACCAUAAAAUCAUCUACACACUCGGGAAAGGCCAAAGUUGGAGCAGUAGUCAGCUUGUCCUUCAAUUUCUCAAAACUAUUUUCACACAAGUCAGACCACGCAAACUUCAUCUUUUUCUGAUUUAGUUUAGUAAGCGGAGCAAAUAUGGAAGAAAAACUCUCUAUGACCUUCUGUAAUACCCCGCAAAACCCAAGAAGCUCCGAAUAUCGGUUGGAUUUAUGGGUCUGGGCCAUUUUCUCAUUGCUUCAACUUUCUGGGGAUCCACUCUUAUCCCAUCACUAGACACAAUAUGCCCUAGGAAGGCAAUAGCAUCUAACCAGAAUUCACAAUUAGAAAAUUUGGCAUACAGCUGAUGAUCCUUAAGGGUCUGAAGGAUAAUUCGGAGGUGAUUGGCGUGAUCCUCUUUACUCUUAGAAUAGAUCAGAAUAUCAUCAAUAAAUACAAUGAUGAACAAGUCAAGAAACAAACAAAACACUCUAUUCAUAAGAUCCAUGAAGGCUGCAGGGGCAUUAGUCAACCCGAAGGACAUGACUAGAAAUUUGUAGUGACCAUAGCGGGUUGGGAAGGCUGUCUUAGGUAUGUCUGACUCCCUAACUUUCAACUAAUUAUAACCCGAACGAAGGUCUAUUUUUGAAAAAAACUUGGCACCCUGAAGUUGGUCAAAAAGGUUGUCAAUCCUAGGAAGAGGAUAUUUAUUUUUAAUCGUGACCUUAUUCAGCUGACGGUAGUCUAUGCACAUCCGAAGGGACCCAUCCUUCUUUCGCACGAAGAGCACGGGUGCACCCCAUGGGGAAACACUAGGAUGAAUAAAACCUUUGUCUAGGAGGUCUGCAAGCUGUUCCUUUAACUUCUUUAGUUCCACAGGAGCUAUUCUAUAUAGCGGAAUAGAAAUAGGACGAAUGUCUGGCAACACAUCAAUGCCAAAAUUUAUCUCCCUAUCAGGGAGUAUCCCUGGGAGAUCUUCGGGAAAGACUUCUGGGAAUUCAUUCACUACAGGGACUGACUGUAGAGGAAGGUUUCCAACUUUUGAAUCUUUUACUCGGAUUAGAUGAUACAUACAACCUUUGGAGAUAAGCUUUUGGGCUCGAAGAUAAGAGAGAAAGUGACAUCUAGGUUCCACAGAACUCCCUUCCCAAACAACUGGUGUCUCAUUCAGGAAAGAAAAAGUGACCUUUCGGGUUUUGCAAUCAAGGGUGGCAUAACACGAAUGGAGCCAGUCCAUACCAAGGAUGGUAUCAAAGUCUAUCAUAUCCAGUUCUAUAAGGCCUGCCACAGUUUUCCUACCAUGAAUAGACACGACACAAUUUCUAUAUACCCUUCUAGAAAUAACAGAAUCACCUACCGGAGUAGAAACAGAGAAGGGUUCUACAAUAACUUCGGGCUCAAACCCGAAACCAACAGCCACAUAAGGGGACACAUAAGAUAAUAUAGACCUGGGAUCAAGCAAGACAUAAACAUCACGAGAAAAGAUUUAUAACAUACCAGUGAUAACAUCCGGUGAAGCUUCCGCCUCCUGGUGGAUAGUCAAAGAAUAUAACCGGUUGCGAUCGCUUUCGGCAGCUGAAGGGGAACCCUUAGGGAAAGGAGCUGUGGAGGCGGUUUGGGACUUAGCCCCCCUCCUCCCCCCUGCAUUUACUCCAGCAGAUGGAUAAUCUCUUUGAAGGAGACCCACUUUGACAUAAGUAUAGUAGUUUCUUCCCUCAAACCAGCACUUCCCUGGUGAUUCCUUCCGCAAACCCCACACCAUAGACGAGUACGAUAUUGUUGGGCCACACUGCCCUGAGACUGUGUACCUAGAGCUUUGGACCCAUGAGGAAUCUAAAAUUUAUGAGUUUGUCGGUUUGUCGGUGGUCUAGGUGCUGGGGCGCUGGCCGCUGACUGUGCAUUAUUCCAAAACUUCUUCUUCUUCAACCACUUAUUAGCCCAGUUAACACUCUGCGGCUGACUCUGGUGCUGGUCUGCAGAUUUAGCUCUCUUAGCCUGUCUAUCUUUCACUCUAGAUUCAGCAAUCUUUUUUUUCUUCCCUUCCACUUGAUGCAUAUAAACGGUCAGUCGAGCAAAGUCUAACUCCUUAUUCAACAUAGCCCCCUGGCACUCAAGUACCAGGUCAUCAGCAAGGACAGAUGCAAACUUCCUCAUUCGGGCCCUCAUAUUACUAGUCAACUCUGGUGCAUAGCGGGCUAGUUUAUUAAACUUCAAAGUGUACUCCUGGACACUCACACUUCCCUGUUUCAGAUUCAUAAACUCUUCCGCUUUGGCCUCACUCAACUCCAGAGGAAAGAAUCGAUGAAGGAAGGCUUCCACAAAUUUGCCCCAAACUGUGGGCUCAGCACUUUCACCUUUUUUAUCUUCCCAGUCAGCAUACCACUGACUCGCAAUGUCCUUGAGAUAAUAGGUUGCUAGCUCCACCCCUUCAACUUUAUCCACAUGCAUCACCUUAAAGAUCUUUUCCAUCUCAUCCACGAACUCCUAUGGAUCUUCCUCCACCUUGGUGCCAGUGAACUUAGGUAGGUUCAUCUUCAUUAAAUGUCCGACUCUAGUAGCCUCAAAUGUAACAGAUGCAUACCCAACAUCUUCCAAUCAUUGAGCUUGGUUGGCUACCAACUGUGUCAAUAUAUGAAUAGACCGUCUGAAUUCUGCAUUUGAAAUAUCCCCCUGAGCAGUUGGGGGACGGUUGACAUUAGUCUGUGGAGCCCGAGGUGGACUGGUCGGGACUGGAGGGACUCCCGGAGUAGGGACAAAUUUUGGAGUGUGAGCCCUAUUAUAGGUUCGCAUCGCAUGGGUGGGACGGACCUCAUAUGCCUGAGCAUUCUAAUCGACGAUACGACGUGGAGGCAUAACUAUGUUUCUGAAACACAAGUGAUCAUUGAUUAGGGGACAGUUUAGACUCUGAAGCACGAACUAAAUCACAAAAAAGGGAAACAUUUCCUAAAUGCCUAGCAGCCUCCUGCUUAUAAGUGUGGCGCGCUACACACCCAUAAAUAAAAUUCUACCCAACGCAAUUUCCCAGACACGCUGGGACUAUGAACCAUGCUUUGAUACCAAGUUUGUCAUGACCCAAACCAGGGCCUGACCGUGAUGAGCAUUUCGAACCAUUGAGGCCUGAAACACCCCUAUCUGUCUGGUAAUCAUGCACCUAUUUCAUAUGAUCAAAGAAAUGCGGAAAAAAAUACAAUAAUUCAGAAACAUGGUCAUAAAUAUGAAUAGAGACAAUAAUGGGGAGAUAAUAUUCCCUCAACAUCAAUUAUUCUCUGAACAACUAUCUGUGAAAAUCUCUAACAAAUGAAUGAAACAAUGUCUAUCUGAAAAAUAGGACAAGGCCCCCAGUAGACCCAAAAACUGCAUAUAAGAUAAAAGGACUGCAGGACAUAAAACCUUCCAAAACAUAGAACGCUCACCACGUGUCUGUACAGCUCGGUCUGAAAGUUCUACUGAUUCUCUUGACCCCUAGACUGGACCUCUAAACCUGAGAGGUUGGAGAGGGAAGGGGGUCAGCACAAAAGUACUGGCAUUGAGAGAUAUCAAAACAAAACAUAAUAUUUUUACAAAGCAUAGUAGAGAGCCAUUAUAAAGCAAUUUCGUAUUAAAUCAUUUGAAAGCACAUGGUGUAAUGCAAUAGUUUUUUUCUUAACAAUAAUGAAAUGCAACUGAGCUAGGGGGAAUACCCUACAUAAUUUACACCAACUGUCAAACCUCGGUUACCGCCGAGAUUAGAGAAUAAGUAAGAGAGAGACACAUAAGACCACGAAGCAUGGUGUCUCGACCCAAAUCAAAUAUGGUAGUGCACGAGACCACAAAGCAUGGCUACUGACCAUAAUCCCAAUUUGGAAUAAUAUAAUAUUAGGUACACAAGACCACAAAGCAUGAUACCAAGUUCCCGAGUUGGCAAACACGGUUUCCAGCGUAGAAUCAAAUGACUCAUGCUUUCUUUAGGCAACCACCUAUCUCAUUUAAAAUCAAUGCAUUCAAAUUUCAUCUUAUUCAAUCAUAUGUCGUAUUCUGUAGGGUAUCGUCAUACCUGACUUGCAAGUCAUCAAUAUCACAUCCACAUAUGCAUAAUCAUGUAAAAAACCAAGGUACUUCAUCAUUUAUAAGUGGUGAACAAUAUUUAUUUCAAAUUCAUGCUCUCUUUUAUUGAUCACAAUAUAAUAUGGAGUGUCGAAACAUUAUCAUGGGAAUUUGAAAACAAUUUAUCAUUCAUAUUUAUCAAACUUCCAUAGAAAAUCUCAAAUCACAUAUGCAUGGUUUCAACCAUUGAAGUAUAUAGGCAAACAAUUCCCAUGACAUAAAGAAAACGACUUAAAAAUCGUAUUAAAAGCAAGAUAUUAGUAUUUGAUUGAAAACCCCCAUUUAAAACCAUGCAUGUUCAUAAAAACUACACCCAUGAGAUUUUUGGAUAACCCCACGUACCUCUAUUUCCAAGGAUAAUAGGUGUUUCUUGAAGCUUGCGGAUUGAUGAAUCCAAAUAUGUAAUUAUCUUUGAAAACCUAAGGUCAAAUCUUGAACUAUUUGGGUUUUUAUUUUGAAACCCUAAAGAGAAUCUUGAGCACUUUUGAUGAAAGAAUAUGUAUUUUGGGGUCCUUGGAACUAAAUCUCGUGUUUUAGGGCUAAGUAAGGGUGGAAAAGGACCACUUUGUCCUCAACACGGAGUGCUAAAAUCACCAGAAUUCGUACAUAGGCGCCGCCCAUCCCGUUGCCUAUGUUCACAUAGGCACCGCCUAGGCUAUCGCCUAUGUUUGCAUAGGCGCUUCCUAGGCUAUCGCCUAUGUUUGCAUAGGCGCUUCCUAGGCUAUCGCCUAUGUUUGCAUAGGCGCCGCCUAGGCUAUCGCCUAUGUUUGCAUAGGCGCUUCCUAGGCUAUCGCCUAUGUUUGCAUAGGCGCCGCCUAGGCUAUCGCCUAUGUUUGCAUAGGCGCCGCCUAAGCUAUUGCCUAUGUUUUCCAGUAGCCAUGGGUGAUUGGUUAGGCGAUGCUUAUCACUUUGAAGGGCCAUAACUUUUUGCUCGGGUGUUGGAUUUUUGCCAAAUUGGUAUCGUUGGAAAGAUAACUCGAAUACCUAUCAUUUGACACAUAGUAGGCUUCCUAUUUCAAUAUGUAUAGAGUGUUAUGGUCAAUGGAAACUGACACACUUUACAACAUCUACUAAAACUUAGUCAAUAGAAAUAGUUCCAACUCUUCCUUGAGUUGAAGGACCUCUAUGGUCUGAAUUCAAGCUUGAGCGGAUUCACAUGCUACCCAAUAAUUAACAUGCCGUAUUGGCAUAGAAUUUUAUGGCUUCAGGAUUAGGAAUGCAUCGAAAUCAUGGUCUAUAUUGUAGCUCGAAUUGUGGGGCGUUACACUCGCAGGGUCAACUAUAAAUCCAAUCGUGUCUUUGCAAUUACAUGGUGUUGGUAUUGUGUUCAUCCUAACCCCGAGUCGUCGAUCGAUCACUCUGAGUUGAAAUGAGUUCUCAUCAACUCAAUGUUAGGAUAGUGAUAGUGCCUAAGUUGAUUUAGGUGGAACUAGGUAUGAAUGAAUGAGCUCGCAGGGUGAACUACAAAUCCAAUUGAGUCUUUACAAUUGCAUAGCGCUAGUAUUGCGUUCAUCCCAACCUGAGUCCGUCAAUCGAUCACUCUGAGUUGAAAUGAGUUCUCAUCAACUCAAUGUUAGGAUAGUAAUAGUACCUAAGUUGAUUUAGGUGGAACUAGGUAUGAAUGAAUGAGCUCGCAGGGUGAACUACAAAUCCAAUUGAGUCUUUACAAUUGCAUGGCAUUGGUAUUGCGUUCAUCCCGACCCGAGUCAUCGAUCAUUCACUUUGAGUUGAAAUGAGUUCUCAUCAACUCAAUGUUUUGAAAACUAUAUCUUUUAAAAUUUUUAAAAUUAAUUAAGAUCAAUUCGGACCAAAUUAGCAAUUUCAAAACUUGUCAUUCUUUUCCAAAAUUACAAAUCAACCCAUACAAAUCAUCUAUUUGCGCAAAAAACUUUUCAUUUCAAAUCUUAAGUACUCGCUCUUCUCUCUCUCUCUCGGGGUGUUCUCUCCCUCUCAACAAUACAAACAACAACUACUCAAAAUAUUGCUCAACCCUUCAAAACAGGUCAAUUUUUUUUCCAUUUACGACUACAUAUAGUUAUUUUUUUCGACUUCAUUCACAAUUCUAUCCAUUAUUUUCUCUAUUUUCGCAUGUAACAGAGUUCGAAAAGAGUUCUACAUUUGUUUUUUAUUCUAAAAAAUAGGGCUUUUUAGUUAAUGAUAAAAAAGAAAACUUUUAGUUGUAUUAUCUUCGAGAAUGGGUUAACAAUCUUGAGUUUUGAUGCUAAAAAAGUAGGAAGAACCCGAGAAAAUCCUAGUUUUUCUCUCAGUCUUUUGUUAACUGUCGUGGUAUUGUUGGAUGGUGUUUGUGGUGUUGGUGGUGGUUGUUGUUAGUGGUGUUGGUAUUUGUAUUUUUUGGCGGUGGUGACGGUGGUCUUGGUGUUGGUAUUGGUGGCAUUGGUUGUGGUGGUGGUGGUUCAUCUGUUGCAACGGGUGGAAGAUCUGUUGGGAGAUAUUAAAUAGGUCUUUAAACAGAUUCACUAUCUGUUCCAACUGAUGAGUUAUCCGUUGGAGUAUUUUCUUGUAAUGUGGCAUAGAAUAAUUUAUUAAAAUUUCUCCACCUGUUGCAACAAGUGGAAUAUAUGUGGGGAGAUAUUAAAUAGGUCUUCAAACAGAUUUGGGUUCCCCAUCUGUUCCAACUGAUGGGUUAUCCGUUGGAGUAUUUUUUUUGUUAUGUGGUAAGAAUAAUUUAUUGAAAUUUGUCUCACCUUUUUUAAAAAAAUUAUGCAGACAUCAAAUGCAAUGUAUUUUUGUUUUUCUUUUAUUUGUAGUUAAAAGAUGUCUCCCAAAAGAAAAGAAACAGAAAGUGGAGAAAGUGGAUCAACUUUCAAUCACCAAAUGAAAAAGGUUAAAGUACAGAUAGAUUCGGAGGAACUUCUAGAACAAUCUCAGUCAGGGCAAAAUAAAGUCGAGGAAACUGAUAACUCCUCCUCACCAAUGGGUCGUGAAAGCGAUCGUUGUCAAUAUAAAACCCAACUAGGUUGGUGUCGAAUCCCACAGGGAAUAGGGUGUGAACUUCGAUUUGUUUACGAAAGAUUUUACUGGUAGUUUACUGUUUUUGAAUGAUGGGUGUUUAAGUUCACGGUGUGUUAAAUAUCACUUUCAAUACUUCAGUGUUUGUAAUCAAGAUAAAUGGGAAACCAGGGCUAUAUUCACC
rnacentral:lncRNA from 1 species